rnacentral:rRNA from 1 species
GUGCAGCAGGCGCGAAACCUUCGCAAUGCGGGAAACCGCGACGAGGGGACUCCCAGUGCCUACGCUCAGCGUAGGCUGUUCCCGAGCCUAGAAAGCUCGGGGAGUAAGGGCUGGGUAAGACGGGUGCCAGCCGCCGCGGUAAUACCCGCAGCCCGAGUGGUGGCCACUAUUAUUGGGCCUAAAGCGUCCGUAGCCGGCCCGGUAAAUGCCUGGGUAAAUCGUGAGGCCUAACCUCACGAAUUCCGGGUAGACUGCCGGGCUAGGGACCGGAGGAGGGAGAGGGUACUCCAGGGGUAGGGGUGAAAUCCUGUAAUCCCUGGAGGACCACCGGUGGCGAAGGCGCUCUCCUAGGACGGGUCCGACGGUGAGGGACGAAAGCCAGGGGAGCGAACCGGAUUAGAUACCCCGGUAGU